AGAGUUUGAUCCUGGCUCAGGACGAACGCUGGCGGCACGCUUAACACAUGCAAGUCGAACGAGAGAAGAGGAGCUUGCUUUUCUGAUCUAGUGGCGGACGGGUGAGUAACACGUGAGCAAUCUGCCUUUCAGAGGGGGAUACCGAUUGGAAACGAUCGUUAAUACCGCAUAACAUAAUUGAACCGCAUGAUUUGAUUAUCAAAGAUUUAUCGCUGAAAGAUGAGCUCGCGUCUGAUUAGCUAGUUGGUAAGGUAACGGCUUACCAAGGCGACGAUCAGUAGCCGGACUGAGAGGUUGAUCGGCCACAUUGGGACUGAGACACGGCCCAGACCCCUACGGGAGGCAGCAGUGGGGAAUAUUGCACAAUGGAGGAAACUCUGAUGCAGCGAUGCCGCGUGAGGGAAGAAGGUUUUAGGAUUGUAAACCUCUGUCUUCAGGGACGAAAAAAGACGGUACCUGAGGAGGAAGCUCCGGCUAACUACGUGCCAGCAGCCGCGGUAAUACGUAGGGAGCGAGCGUUGUCCGGAAUUACUGGGUGUAAAGGGAGCGUAGGCGGGAUCGCAAGUCAGAUGUGAAAACUAUGGGCUUAACCCAUUAACUGCAUUUGAAACUGUGGUUCUUGAGUGAAGUAGAGGUAAGCGGAAUUCCUAGUGUAGCGGUGAAAUGCGUAGAUAUUAGGAGGAACAUCAGUAGCGAAGGCGGCUUACUGGGCUUUAACUGACGCUGAGGCUCGAAAGCGUGGGGAGCAAACAGGAUUAGAUACCCUGGUAGUCCACGCCGUAAACGAUGAUUACUAGGUGUGGGGGGACUGACCCCUUCCGUGCCGCAGCAAACGCAAUAAGUAAUCCACCUGGGGAGUACGACCGCAAGGUUGAAACUCAAAGGAAUUGACGGGGGCCCGCACAAGCAGUGGAGUAUGUGGAUUAAUUCGAAGCAACGCGAAGAACCUUACCAGGUCUUGACAUCGUAUGCAUAGCUCAGAGAUGAGUGAAAUCUCUUCGGAGACAUAUAGACAGGUGGUGCAUGGUUGUCGUCAGCUCGUGUCGUGAGAUGUUGGGUUAAGUCCCGCAACGAGCGCAACCCUUACUGUUAGUUGCUACGCAAGAGCACUCUAGCAGGACUGCCGUUGACAAAACGGAGGAAGGUGGGGAUGACGUCAAAUCAUCAUGCCCCUUAUGACCUGGGCCUCACACGUACUACAAUGGCUGUCAACAGAGGGAAGCAAAGCCGCGAGGUGGAGCGAACCCCUAAAAGCAGUCUUAGUUCGGAUUGUAGGCUGCAACCCGCCUACAUGAAGUCGGAAUUGCUAGUAAUCGCAGAUCAGCAUGCUGCGGUGAAUACGUUCCCGGGCCUUGUACACACCGCCCGUCACGCCAUGGGAGUCGGUAACACCCGAAGCCUGUAGUCUAACCGCAAGGAGGACGCAGUCGAAGGUGGGAUUGAUGACUGGGGUGAAGUCGUAACAAGGUA
rnacentral:rRNA from 1 species